GGUUCUACUUCUUUUCUCUAAAGAGUCCAUGGACGUUAUCCUACGGUUGGUUAGUUCCUGGUUCUGCAGAUGAGAAAUUCAAUGCUAACCUGAAUCCAAGAGUUAACUUUUGAAAUAACUUGUUGUUUCUACCUGGAAAGCUAUAAAAUUUUUCCUCUAUUUUUGGAGUUUAGGAAUUCUAUCAGGACUUGCCUCAGUGUACCUCUUUGUCUACUCCAGUCUUCAGUUUAGAAAACUUUUCUUCUAAAAAGUCCAGAGAAACUUGGCAAAACAGCUUAUAAAUCCAGCAUUUCAAAGAACAGAACAAAAGGGAGGCAGGGAACGUGGGAGGGCUUAUGUCUGUGUUUCUGGGGGUGAGUGACCAGGGGGUGGGUGUUCAUGUAGGAUAAGUAUAUGGCGGAGGUGAAAGGAAAUUGACUUGGCUCAGGGAAAUCUAAUUGGCUUGGAGGUGAGAAUCGUGGGUGACUCAAAAACUGCAGUGGCCUCCAACUAGUAAUUUGUAUUUCAUUCUACCUUUAUUGCUUGUCCAAAAGGCCUUGAAGAAUGGGAGUAGGAGGGAGAAGAAAGGACAGCUGGUGGGAGGUUAAGCCAAGGAUAUGGAUGUUUGUGACUGCAAUUCUCCGAUUUUCCAAACACUGAGUGGGUGUCCAUCAAUUCAGUUCCAUGCUGAUACUAAUUCCCCAGAGUUAGCAUCAGACUCUACAGAUGUAAAUGCUCAGUCCCACAAGACUACCCUCCCUUCCUAUACCAUCCCAAGUACUGUGUCUCCGGAUUACCUGCACUUCUGUUUGACUUGGCUACAAAUUUGAGGGUGCCCACAACCCCUUGCUCAGGUUCAAUAGUUCACUAGAAUAACUCACAAAACUCAGGAAUGUGCUUUUAUUUUUAUUUUUUUUACUGUUAGCAGUUAAUUAUAAAGGUUACAGGUUAGGAACAGUCACGCGGAAGAGAUGCACAGGUAGAGGAGCCCCCGAUCUCUUGUGCCCACUCUGGGUGCACCAACCUCCCAGCACCUCAAUAUGGUCACCAACCAGGAAGCUCUCUGAACCCUGUUGUUUAGUUAUUUUUUAUGGAGGUUUCAUUACACAGAAGUGAUUGAUUAAACCAUUGGCCUUUGGUGAAUGAACUCAGUUUCCAGCCCUACAUGGACACACCAGUCUGCCUUGUUAUACCCUAUACUGUAUAUACCCCUUUUAUAUUCUCUACCCCUUUCAUUCAACCUGCACACUUUGAGACUGAAUCUUCCCACACCACACCCCUGUUAUUCACAGACAUUGAUUCGGCCCUGGUGGUUUUCAUCAGUCCCACAUUUUCAGGAUAUAUUGGAACAGAGGAAUCCUCACAUUCUGACAUUUUCCAAUCUGUAACACAGACUUCUGUUCUAUUUCUCCAUUCUGUUUAGGAACAAUGGUCUAUUUCUAGUCAAUGCUCAAGCCACAUUUCAGGCUCAUCAAAUUAGAAUUUCUGAGGGUGGGACCUGACUUUUUAAGCUCCUCAGUUCAUUCUACAACAUGCCAGAGUUAAGAA